CACUCCUGCGAGGCAGCAGUGGGGAAUUUUGGACAAUGGGCGAAAGCCUGAUCCAGCAAUGCCGCGUGAGUGAAGAAGGCCUUCGGGUUGUAAAGCUCUUUUGUCAGGGAAGAAACGGUGAGAGCUAAUAUCUUUUGCUAAUGACGGUACCUGAAGAAUAAGCACCGGCUAACUACGUGCCAGCAGCCGCGGUAAUACGUAGGGUGCAAGCGUUAAUCGGAAUUACUGGGCGUAAAGCGUGCGCAGGCGGUUUUGUAAGUCUGAUGUGAAAUCCCCGGGCUCAACCUGGGAAUUGCAUUGGAGACUGCAAGGCUAGAAUCUGGCAGAGGGGGGUAGAAUUCCACGUGUAGCAGUGAAAUGCGUAGAUAUGUGGAGGAACACCGAUGGCGAAGGCAGCCCCCUGGGUCAAGAUUGACGCUCAUGCACGAAAGCGUGGGGAGCAAACAGGAUUAGAAACCCGUGUAGUCCCAUG
rnacentral:rRNA from 1 species